GAGAGUAGGUUAUUGCCAGGGUUUUUAUUUUUAUACUUUAAACUUUGAUUUUAUUUUUAUGUUUUUUAAAUAUUGGUGUUUUUGAAUGUGUUGUUUAAAUAACAUAAAAAAUAAAAUAUAUAUUGACAUGUAUUAAACAAAGAUAUAUAUUAUUUUAUGUUGUAUAAAUAAAUUGGCAAAAUAGAGAUGGAAGAUAAAAAUA
rnacentral:misc_RNA from 1 species